rnacentral:rRNA from 1 species
GAUGAACGCUAGCGGCAGGCUUAAUACAUGCAAGUCGAGGGGCAGCAUGAAUGUAGCAAUACAUUUGAUGGCGACCGGCAAACGGGUGCGGAACACGUACACAACCUUCCUAUAAGUGGGGAAUAGCCCAGAGAAAUUAGGAUUAAUACCCCGUAACAUAAUGAUGUGGCAUCACAUUAUUAUUAUAGCUACGGCGCUUAUUGAUGGGUGUGCGGCUGAUUAGAUAGUUGGCGGGGUAACGGCCCACCAAGUCUACGAUCAGUAGCUGAUGUGAGAGCAUGAUCAGCCACACGGGCACUGAGACACGGGCCCGACUCCUACGGGAGGCAGCAGUAAGGAAUAUUGGUCAAUGGACGCAAGUCUGAACCAGCCAUGCCGCGUGAAGGAUUAAGGUCCUCUGGAUUGUAAACUUCUUUUAUCUGGGACGAAAAAAGGCUAUUCUUAGUCACUUGACGGUACCAGAUGAAUAAGCACCGGCUAACUCCGUGCCAGCCGCCGCGGUAACAC